GAUGAACGCUGACAGAAUGCUUAACACAUGCAAGUCGAUGGGGAAGUGGUGCUUGCACCAUGGCAACCAUGGCGGACGGGUAAGUAACGCGUAAGGGACUUACCUGCAGGACUGGGAUAACAGGGGGAAACUCCUGACAAGACCGGAUAAUGUCAUGGAGCUGCAUGGCUUUAUGAUGAAAGGAGACGCCUGCGGAGAGCCUUGCGUCCUAUUAGCUAGUUGGUGAGGUAAUGGCUCACCAAGGCGAAGAUAGGUAGCCGGCCUGAGAGGGUGGACGGCCACAAGGGGACUGAGAUACGGCCCUUACUCCUACGGGAGGCGGCAGUGGGGAAUAUUGGACAAUGGGGGCAACCCUGAUCCAGCAAUUCUGUGUGCACGAAGAAGGUUUUCGGAUUGUAAAGUGCUUUCAGCAGGGAAGAAGUAAGUGACGGUACCUGCAGAAGAAGCGACGGCUAAAUACGUG
rnacentral:rRNA from 1 species